UCCGUCUUCUCGGGUAGGCGGAAGCAGGAGCUGCGGCGGAGGGGGAGCGAUGGAGGCCGCGAGGCCGGAGCAGCGAGGCCCGGAGCCGGCCGCAGCGAAUGGCGACUGCAGCCGCCCCCUGUCGCUCUCCGGACAGUCCUACUGGCUCGACGUGUGGCUCUUCGUCCUCUUCGACCUGGCGCUGCUCGUCUUCGUCUAUCUGCUGCCCUGAGCCCGCGGAUUUAGGAAGCAUGUAGAAAUUCACAAGCCAAAGAUAUCCAAAAUGAGCACAGAGCCUCUGAUCAUGGCUGGCAUCUUGCAUUAAGAAGGUCUAUUUCUGUUGUGCUUCAUAUGUGGCAGAAAUUAAAUCAGUAUUAAAAUUCUGAAACUUGAACUUUCAAGCAGAGAUGAGAAGGAAAAAUCUAUGAAAACAAACCUGUCAAGCAGCCACAGUGCUAUCACGGAUAACACAGCAAAUUUCAUAUGUUUAAGUUUCAAAUAAAUAGUGGUACUAUUGACAGAUCUUGAUCUGUGGCAGCUCCUAUUCAAGAUGAGGAACCUUUUUUAUAAAAACAUGCUUUGGAAGAGGAAGACUAUACGUGCAACAGGACAACUGGAAAUAACACUCUCAAACCUGUUAAGCCACUGAGUGCUAGUGGUACACAUUGAUCCAUUCAUGGAUGUACUGAUUUGAGGGGGUCUGGUUCAUCUGUAGCCUAUUUACUUCAGUGACAAUGUAAAUUGUGCCUUAAGUUAAAUUAUUUCAAAAGUUUGAGGAUACUCUUGUUUCCCUAGCAGUAAUAUAAAUUGCUCAUUUGUCUUUUACAUAAUGUUCAGUGUUUGAAUAAAGAUAAUUGAAAAAAUUGAACUUCA